AUACUUCCUGGCAGAAGAGAGAGCAGGAUUCAGAAGGUGGUUCCCAAGGGUUCCUCCAUGACACUUGAGAUCUGCUCAUUCACACAUCACCCCUGUGGUUCUCCCCAGUGUGGGAAACUCAGCUGUGUAAUUUGUGGGAGUUGGGGGUGCGUUUAUGCUUUCCCCUA
ensembl:snRNA U1 U1 spliceosomal RNA